GCUUUUGCCACCUUCGUUGCGUCCCCCCCGCCUUCCUCUUUCUCCAUUUCUCUUCAAAUCCUUCUCUCUCUAAACCACGGAAGCUUGACUUCUCUGCUUCUCUCCACUUGUUUCCUUCUCUCUUUCUCUCCUUUUUCCUCCUUCAAACCCUCCUUUCUGCGGAGGAGCUCGCCAUUUCAGAUCUUUAGAGUUGUAAGGAGGAAUAUCAGAGAGAAUGAACAGGUGGGUUUACGAGCAGAACGCCAUGGCUGCCUACCAAGACAUGAGGAUGGAAUCUGUGGUUUGUCCAAAGCCACGUCGUUUGGUUCUUCAAACCCCUCCUGAUAAUGACCCCAUCAGAGCCUAUAGAUGGCCCAUCAGCCACUCCAAGACAGGAAAUUCAAGAGCAGGAGCUGAGUUUCUUGAUAUGAUCCUCACCAAGGAAAGUUAUGGCGAAAAUUUUAGCCACCAAUUAGCAACAUCUCCACCAUUCUUUUGGGGGUCUCCACCAAGUAGAGCUUCCAACCCUUUAGUCCAAGAUGAGCAAUUUGGCAAUGGCAACAAUAUCUACCAACUUUGUGAAGGGCCACCAUCUCCAUCAACCCGUAAAGGAGGAUGCACCCGAACGAAAUUCGGGCAUCGACCUGCAGCAGUCCGAAUCGAAGGAUUCGACUGUCUCAACCACGAUGCUCGAAAUUGCAGCAUUUCUGCUGUGGCUUAGAGAGCAUAUAUAUAACCAAAGGGGGAGGAGGUAGCCUUAAGUUUUUUGAAGUGGGAGGAGAUUUGAGACAGAG
rnacentral:misc_RNA from 1 species